rnacentral:rRNA from 1 species
GGGUGAGUAACACGUGGAUAACCUACCUAUAAGACUGGGAUAACUUCGGGAAGCCGGAGCUAAUACCGGAUAACAUGUUGAACCGCAUGGUUCAACAGUGAAAGACGGUCUUGCUGUCACUUAUAGAUGGAUCCGCGCCGCAUUAGCUAGUUGGUAAGGUAACGGCUUACCAAGGCAACGAUGCGUAGCCGACCUGAGAGGGUGAUCGGCCACACUGGAACUGAGACACGGUCCAG